rnacentral:siRNA from 1 species
AAACCCGUUCCGCAAAACCCGUC